AUCGAGGGAAGGAUUGCCUAGCAGUAGCUAUUUAGUGUGAUAAUGGCGUUUGAUAGUUUAGACACAAACACCAUUGUCACACUCCACAGCUCUGCUAAGGAAACUCUGUAGCCACGAA
rnacentral:precursor_RNA from 1 species